CGGGAGGAUCAUUAUUGAGAGGAAGGUUUUCACGCCUUCGCGGCGCAGCUGCGCCCGACAUCUUCACCCUCGAUGUGUACCGACCACUCGUNUGCUUUGGCGGGUAUGAAGAGCCUAAACCGCCGUUCUAUCGAAUCCCGCCGAAGACCCUUUUUUCCAAAUCUUAUGUCANAUGCAGUCUGAGUCUUCUAAGCAAUCAAAAAUUAAAAAACUUUCAACAACGGAUCUCUUGGUUCUGGCAUCGAUGAAGAACGCAANGAAAUGCGAUANGUAAUNUGAAUUGCANAANUCAAUGAAUCAUCGAAUCUUUGAACGCACAUUGCGCCCCUUGGUAUUNCGAGGGGCAUGCCUGUUCGAGCGUCAUUGCAACCCUCAAGCUCAGCUUGGUAUUGAGUGAUGCGACGCCCUGUCAUGGGGCCCGCAGACUCGAAAACUACGUGGCAGUCCAGGUAGAGCUUCAAGCGCACGUAAACCUCCUGCGCUUUGGAAGCCUCUUACCCCGCGACUUCGCCGAGAACCCCCCUAUAUAUACUCAAUGAUUGACCUCGGAUCANGCAGGGAUACCCGCUGAAC
rnacentral:rRNA from 1 species